UCCCUGGUGGCUCAGAAGGUAAAGCAUCUGCCUGCAGUGCGGGAGACCCUGGUUUGAUCCCUGGGUUGGGAA
rnacentral:tRNA from 1 species